rnacentral:lncRNA from 1 species
CUCUAUGUUGGGAGUUACAAAAAUCGUUAACAAAUUGAGUGAAAAAGAAACAUUCUCUAUGUCAGGAGUUACAAGAACUUGAUGUAAAUCAACCAAGUACGAUCUAAAUGAAUCUUAAAUGAGUUAUUUUAUUUGGAUUCAUAUAUGAUUUAUAUAGUAAUAUCCUCUCUGAGAGUUAGAUUGAAUUCUAUAAUGACUUUGUGCUCAUAUCUGACACACACUCAAUCUUUUGUAAUCUCGCACAAUAGGGACAACCAUCUUUGUAAAAUGCUAAGUAUGGAGAGACAUGUAAACACUUAAUUACCAAACACUAGGAGCUUGUCAGAAUUGUUGAGAAGACUAUAAGACUUCUAGUGGAUUGCCUAAAGAGGCGGUUUGAACAAUACUUAUAGUAUGGAGAGACUUUUAAACACUUAGUUCCUCAACAACACAAGUUUUACACGAGUAAUGAGAAGACUAGAAGGUCUCUAGUGGAAAGUCUAGAGAGGCACUAUAAAACUCAACUCAAAAGGCGAGUGGAGCUAAUAGUAUUAAAUAAUCUAAAGACUAUAUAUUUGAUGAGUAUGAAUAAGUUCUGAAUAAAUACUCAGUCUGGAGAGGCAAAGAAAAAAAAUACUCAAUUCAAAAUGCAAGUGAAGCAGUAGGCUUGA